rnacentral:rRNA from 1 species
GCCAGCAGCCAUAUCACUCUGCAACUAACAACUGCCAACCCAUUGAAGCUAAGUAGGUGUGAGCCUGGUCAGUUACCUGGAUGAGAGACCCCCUGGGAAAAACUAAGGUUGCUGCUGGAA